UACGUAGGGCGCAAGCGUUGUCCGGAAUUAUUGGGCGUAAAGAGCUCGUAGGCGGUUUGUCGCGUCUGCUGUGAAAACCUAAGGCUCAACCUUGGGCUUGCAGUGGGUACGGGCAGACUAGAGUGCGGUAGGGGUGACUGGAAUUCCCGGUGUAGCGGUGAAAUGCGCAGAUAUCAGGAGGAACACCGAUGGCGAAGGCAGAUCUCUGGGCCGUAACUGACGCUGAGGAGCGAAAGCAUGGGGAGCGAACAGG
rnacentral:rRNA from 1 species